CUCAUUUCUAGGAAUCGUAUGGAAGACUUUCCUAAUGUUGGACGUUGAAUCAAUUGAUCCAACGUUUUAAGAUGCAAUCCACACUUAGUGAGGUCCUUCCACAUAGUUUCCUGUAGAAAUUCAGUUUCACAAAAGAGGACUGUUAACUUCUGUAUCCAAGUUUGUUUCGGAGUUUUUCUGGGUCUUGCUCCUAGUUUCUUCUACCAAAGGUAAAGAAAAUUCUAUGCCUGAGUAGGGAAGGGGUUUCUCUCUUCUGUUACAGCACUGAAAUAUCUAUAGGGACAACAGGGGAAGUGAAUGACUGUACAAGCAGAUAAGAAAAAGGUUACAGAAGUUUCUGUGAGAGGCGCAAAUAGAAAAAUUAUUUCAAUUUGUUUACAUCUCUUUCUGUUACAGUAAAUUUACAUGUGUCAAGUAGUAAAGAUUUCAGACAAAAUAUGAAUUUUAAGUUGGUGUCAACUUAAUACUGAACUUCAAGACAUUCUAAGAAAAAGUCCUAGAAUUGUAACAUUCUAGUAAAAUCUAGAUGACACUGAACAGAAAGCUACAAAAAAAAAAAAAAUACAAAAUGUAAGCUUUUUCUGCAUGAUGAAAUGUUAAACACCCCAAAAACAAUAUUUAUGGCUUCCUACAUUGGUUAAUGUGGUAUCUGCUCUUUCAGAACACUCUUCUUUCCAGGUGGAUUUAUUUUCUUGAAGAGGAUCUAAAAACUAAAGAAAGAAAGAGUUAUUAACUUAAUCUAAAGUACAGCAAAGUUGAGAGUUAAAUUGACAAUUUUGUUUUAAUUUUGUUUGAUCUUUAAAUGUAAUUUCAUGAGAUAUUUAAAACUGACAAUUAUCA